rnacentral:piRNA from 1 species
UAGAUUUUUAUUCGUUGAUACGCCUGA